rnacentral:pre_miRNA from 1 species
UUAGUGCUCCCUCCGUCCCAAAAUUCUUGUCUUUGAUUUGUCUAAAUACGGAUGUAUCAAGUCACGUUUUAGUAUUAGAUACAUCCGUAUCUAACAAAUCUAAGACAAAAGUUUUGGGACGGAGGGAGUAGUAG